GACGAACGCUGGCGGCGUGCUUAACACAUGCAAGUCGAGCGAGUGGAUUCCCUUCGGGGAUGAAGCUAGCGGCGGACGGGUGAGUAACACGUGGGCAACCUGCCUUAUAGAGGGGGAUAGCCUUCCGAAAGGAAGAUUAAUACCGCAUAACAUCAGAUUAUCGCAUGGUAGACUGAUCAAAGGAGCAAUCCGCUAUAAGAUGGGCCCGCGUCGCAUUAGCUAGUUGGUGAGGUAACGGCUCACCAAGGCGACGAUGCGUAGCCGACCUGAGUGCGUGAUCGGCCACAUUGGGACUGAGACACGGCCCAGACUCCGACGGGAGGCAGCAGUGGCGAAGAGUGCACAAUGGGGGAAACCCUGAUGCGGCAAAGCCGCGUGAGUGGUGAAGCCCUUCGGGUUGUAAAGCUCUUUGAUCAGGGACGAUAAUGACGGUACCUGAAGAACAAGCCACGGCUAACUACGUGCCAGCAGCCGCGGUAAAAC
rnacentral:rRNA from 1 species